CGGCGGACGGGNUGAGUAAUGCCUANCGAAUCUGCCUGGUAGUGGGGGAUAACGUUCGGAAACGGACGCUAAUACCGCAUACGUCCUACGGGAGAAAGCAGGGGACCUUCGGGCCUUGCGCUAUCAGAUGAGCCUAGGUCGGAUUAGCUAGUUGGUGGGGUAAUGGCUCACCAAGGCGACGAUCCGUAACUGGUCUGAGAGGAUGAUCAAUCACACUGGAACUGAGACACGGUCCANACUCCUACGGNAGGCAGCAGUGGGGAAUAUUGGACAAUGNNCGAAAGCCUGAUCCAGCCAUGCCGCGUGUGUGAAGAAGGUCUUCGGAUUGUAAAGCCACUUUAAGUUGGGAGGAAGGGUUGUAGAUUAAUACUCUGCAAUUUUGACGUUACCGACAGAAUAAGCACCGGCUAACUCUGUGCCAGCAGCCGCGGUAAUACAGAGGGUGCAAGCGUUAAUCGGAAUUACUGGGCGUAAAGCGCGCGUAGGUGGUUAGUUAAGUUGGAUGUGAAAUCCCCGGGCUCAACCUGGGAACUGCAUUCAAAACUGACUGACUAGAGUAUGGUAGAGGGUGGUGGAAUUUCCUGUGUAGCGGUGAAAUGCGUANAUAUAGGAAGGAACACCAGUGGCGAAGGCGACCACCUGGACUGAUACUGACACUGAGGUGCGAAAGCGUGGGGAGCAAACAGGAUUANAUACCCUGGUAGUCCACGCCGUAAACGAUG
rnacentral:rRNA from 1 species